rnacentral:rRNA from 1 species
UACGUAGGGUGCAAGCGUUAAUCGGAAUACUGGGCGUAAAGCGUGCGCAGGCGGUUCUAUAAGACAGAUGUGAAAUCCCCGGGCUCAACCUGGGAACUGCAUUGUGACUGUAGAGCUGGAGUACGGCAGAGGGGAUGGAAUUCCGCGUGUAGCAGUGAAAUGCGUAGAUAUGCGGAGGAACACCGAUGGCGAAGGCAAUCCCCUGGGCCUGUACUGACGCUCAUGCACGAAAGCGUGGGAGCAAACAGG